CAUUAACUGAGAGGAAGGAAGGAGAGGGAAGCCACAGACCUUCCAGCCUGUCCUCAGCCCUCAGCCCUCAGCCAGCACCAGCCCCACCAGAGCACCCUGCAGCCCUACCUUGUGCCUCCGCCGCCGUGCCGAAAAUUCAAAUUUCAUUUCCUAAUUGUCAAUUACCAGGCCUUAGCAAGAAGUGAGCAGUGCUAUUCUACACUGGUUUGGGUUGUGUACAAGGAAUCCACCAGUUACUGACUCACAAAAGAAGUGUGGAGUGGAGCAGUGCUACAGCUGGGCCUGGAGCAGACUGGCAAGACCCUCUGCUGGGUAAGGGUAAGUGACUUACUUACAGUCCAGAAUGAAAGCAGUUAAACUUAGUAACGAGCAUAACAUAUGCCAUCCAGUCCCUCUUUAUGGGACAGGAUUGCAAUGUUCCAUUGAAAUUGGGUGCCUCCAACUGAAAGGCAUGUUCUGAAAGGCAUCAUGUCUAGUUAGCCAAAACUAA